rnacentral:lncRNA from 1 species
UUUUAAUAAUACGAUGUGUGUUGCCUGGGAUCCCUUGUGUGGUUUACCCAUCAUUCAUCCCUAAACGCAUUUUCUUAAUGUAUUUAAACUUUAACGGCUUCAAAACAGCUGUAGCACCUGCUGCUCCAUAUGGAUAAUAGAUUUACUCAGUAAUUAACAUGUGUCUCCCGGUCCUCCGAGUGACAGACGGCAGUGCUGCUCUGCUUUUGCUGCAGCCUUCAUGCGUUCGGAGACGUGCAGCUGAACUGCUCGCGCGAUCAUGCAGUAAAUGAUGUGUUCUAAUAAUACUUCGCUACCAGCAAGCGGGGGGUGUAACCAUGAUCUCGUCCACAUUAGCUGGCAGUUCUCACGUGUCCUUGUUUCUUACUUUUUCAGUAACUUUGAUGCUUUGGCUGCCCUGGAACAUUGCGGUGUCUUUACCUGGGCAGUUCAGCGAAUUGUCUGCUUGUUCGGGAGUCCAGAGGGAUUUCCAUCGGUGGGGUGGGGGAGCAGAAAUCCAUUCCCUACAGUUUCCUUCCAGCUCUACUGUGAUUCACACAACAGCGACGCUGACCUGCCACCAGCAAUGCGAUCGUAACGGGACACGUCGGGGAUCGACUGGGACAGGAGGAGCCGAUCCUAGACGUAAGAGUCCCUGAGGGUACGGGGUGACCCGGGGUGGCCAGGAGCCACACAAAGAUCCGGUGCAGUUUGUACAACGCACACCCGCUGGCAGAGACGCACGAACCCUCUUGCGUUCCUCCGUGUGCGCGUAGAAAACGAGUCGUGGCCGAGCCCUGAGCCGGAGCUGCCUUCAGAGUGACGCACCUCCGGUCUUCUCUAAAAUAGGGAUUGCAUCAGAUGCUACGAAAGAGUCAAGUACGCUUUUUCCCACGGAGCUCUGAAUUCCUGCCGUGUUUACACUCCGCCCACGACCGCGAGCCCAUCUCUUCGCAACGUCCUCAGACGGAGACAGUCUGCGCGUGGCUCAUAGAGAAGAGCCGAUGCCAUUGCGUGUUCGCCAGUUUAUUAAUAAAUGUUGUCUAAUCAGUCA